CAGCAGUGACGUGACUGGAAUGUGGACUUAAAAAGACCGAAACUACAUCGAUGAGUGGGCGUGCCUCCAUCGGUUUUCCUCUGUUUACACCUGCACCAUAAAGGAUUCACAGGUCCUGUUUUUUGCCGGUGUAUUUUGGAUGUACUGAAUUAACCUACAAUGACUCCAUUAACAUUAUUAUGUCUCUGUGUGGCUCUGCUGUUUGCUGAUUUGGCGUCUUCAGAACAGAAAACCGUCACAGCUAAGUCUGGACAGAAGAAUGUCACUCUGACAUGUGGAGCUCUAAACAAAAACAUCAUAGUUGUAGAGUGGAGCAGAGAAGGCUUGGAGCCAGAAUUUGUCCUUGUUUACCGAGGUGGGCAGUUUGUUCCAGAUGAGCAGCAUCCAUCUUUUAAGAAGCGGGUGGAUCUGCAGGACAAACAGAUGAAGGAUGGAGACGUGUCUUUGAUUCUGAAGGAUGUGACGAUUAAUGAUAAUGGAACAUACAAGUGUCAUGUCAAGAGAGAGGGAGAGAGUAUGAAACUCAUCAGCAUCAUCUAUCUGAGAGUUGAUCCUCCAGUUCAGCCAGAACACACAAAGGAUGGAGGGAAGAAGGGUAUCCCUGUUGGACAGGAAAUCGGUCACACAAAAUAUGGAUGUAAGGGACAGAUGAUUUUUGUGUAUGGUUCUGGUUUGUUUCUUCUUUUUCUUCUUCUUGUCCUUGUCACUGCUGCUCCUGUUUGUGAUUGGACUUUCAUCUCCAGAAAAUUAAGUCGGGGGUCUCCAGAUAAAACUCACCAGGUUUAAAAACACUAUUUAAAAACUGAUGUUGGUUCAAAAAGAUGAAGAAACAGAUUAGGUGGUCUAAUUCAUGAUGGUUUCACACUACAUAACAUUUUGAUGAUGGAACAACCAGAACAGAGGUCGGCAGCAAAACCAAUGAAGGUUUAAAAAACUCUUAGGACUCUAACACUCAAAAUAUGAAAGCAGAAAUAUGAAUGGAUUUAUUAAAUAUCUUAAAGGUAUUGCACAAAAAAUCAGUUUAUUCUGAGGGGCUCAGCUGAGACUAACUCAAAAUAUAUUUAUCUAUUUGCUGCUGUCCUCAUAUAGAGACGAUACUUUUUAAACUUUCUGCACUUUAUAUAAGUCUUUGGUGAGCAGGUUUUGCCUUUUUUAUGUUAGGCCAUAAAAGCAUUGUCUCCAUAUGAGGACAUGGUUUAAAAAACAAACUUGUGCUUACCAGGUCCAUCUAAAUCCAAAUAAUCAGGAUCAAAUAAUAAUUCAUCCUAAACUAGAGCUCAGGAGGUUAAACUGAGUCAGACCAACUGUGUUGAUGAAGAGAUCAACUUUAAUCCUGCAGAACUACAGUCACAAUGCAGGUUUUCAACAGGAUGAAACCAAAGAGUUUUGUGUGAGUUUUAUAAAUUUGGGAUGUUAAAUGAUGCAAAAUAUGUUUGAGUUUAAAUACUGAAUAAACUCAGUUAAAGCAAGAUUUUGACAGAUGUAUAUAAACUUGGUUAAAAUGAUUUUAUAUAAAGUAGGAGUGUAGGAAGGCUUUAUAACAAAAUUUGUUGAUGGAUUCAUGAUAAGCUGCUGCUGUCUGAGCCACAAUCUGAUUGUUUUAUUUUAAACAAAAACAUGUGAUUUGUAAUAAAGAGAUUUGUUAUCCAGGGGUUCACUUUCUGUGUGAUCUACAGUGCUGUGAAACAGUACAUGUCUCCUAAGCUGAAUAACUGGUUUUGCGAGUGUGUUGGCAGCAACAGCAACAAUCAAGUCAACAAUCAAUGAUCAAUGCUGAUCUUUGGAGGCCUGUUUCACUACACUUUUCUGACCAUGAAGACCAUGAAGACCACUGUGCCACGUGUUCUCCAUAUGUGGAUAACGACUCUCAUCAUACUUCACUGGAGUCCCAAAGUCUCGGAAAUGAAUCUGUGACCUUCCCAGUCUGAUAGAUGUCAGUGACUUUGUUUCUCAGCUCUUCUGUAGAUCGUGGUUUGAUGUGUUGCUUUUGGACGUUUUUCUCCUGCUUCACUUUGUCAGACUCAUUCUACUCCAGUGACUCUUGAUUCAGCAGGUCUGUCAGAUUCGUGUCUAUGUUCACUGUUGGCAUCCAAUAAAGACAAAAUGCCAAAAUAUAAUAUCCAAAAUUAAUGUUUGAUGUUAUGAGAAAAUAAAGUGUGACAAAUAUGCAAGUAAGUAAGAAAUCAGUGAGGAGGCUG
ensembl:lncRNA